rnacentral:rRNA from 1 species
UGGGGAAUUUUGCACAAUGGGGGAAACCCUGAUGCAGCGACGCCGCGUGAUUUAGAAGGCCUUCGGGUUGUAAAAAUCUUUUCUAUGGGAAGAAAAUGACAGUACCAUAGGAAUAAGGACCGGCUAAUUACGUGCCAGCAGCCGCGGUAAUACGUAAGGUCCGAGCGUUGUCCGGAAUCAUUGGGCGUAAAGGGUACGUAUGCGGGUAAGCAAGUUAGAAGUGAAAUCCUGUAGCUCAACUACAGUAAGCUUUUAAAACUGCUCAUCUUGAGAUAUGGAAGGGAAAGUGGAAUUCCUAGUGUAGCGGUGAAAUGCGCAGAUAUUAGGAGGAAUACCGGUGGCGAAGGCGACUUUCUGGCCAUAAUCUGGCGCUGAGGUACGAAAGCGUGGGUAGCAAACAGG